rnacentral:rRNA from 1 species
UCGGGAAUUUUGGGCAAUGGGCGAAAGCCUGACCCAGCAACGCCGCGUGAAGGAUGAAGUAUUUCGGUAUGUAAACUUCGAAAGAAUAGGAAGAAUAAAUGACGGUACUAUUUAUAAGGUCCGGCUAACUACGUGCCAGCAGCCGCGGUAAUACGUAGGGACCAAGCGUUGUUCGGAUUUACUGGGCGUAAAGGGCGCGUAGGCGGCAAUUCAAGUCAUCUGUGAAAUCUCCGGGCUUAACUCGGAACGGUCAGAUGAUACUGCUUUGCUAGAGUGCAGAAGGGGCAAUCGGAAUUCUUGGUGUAGCGGUGAAAUGCGUAGAUAUCGGGAGGAACACCUGUGGCGAAGGCGGCCACCUGGUUGGAUACUGACGCUGAGACGCGAAAGCGUGGGGGAGCAAACAGGAUUAGAUACCCUUGUAGUCCCUGAGCGGGCUGGCAAGGCGCAU